rnacentral:rRNA from 1 species
UGGGGAAUAUUGCACAAAUGGGGGGAAACCCUGAUGCAGCGACGCCGCGUGAAGGAAGAAGUAUCUCGGUAUGUAAACUUCUAUCAGCAGGGAAGAUAGUGACGGUACCUGACUAAGAAGCCCCGGCUAACUACGUGCC